CUCCCUCUUCUUCUUGGCUUUCUGUGCCAUCCCCUUUAAUAAUCUUUUACUGAUAUUAAUGUCAUUCUUUAUUUAUUUUUCAUCAAAUAUUAAUGAAAUUAAUAAUUAUCAUUUUAGAAGAUUUUAAUAUAUAGUAGAUGGAGAUUUAUAUGCGAUGCAUAGUUUUAAUAUUAUAAUAAUAAUAUAUACAAACAAAAUGAUAUAGUUAAAGCAUUGG
rnacentral:lncRNA from 1 species